rnacentral:lncRNA from 1 species
AUAUUCAAGCAAGAUUUUUGACACAAUUACUCUGAAAUACAACAAAGGUCAGAGUUAAAAUAGAACUCAACAACAACAACAACGGUUAUUUGUGGAUCAAGGGAUACAGUGUUUGUAGGGAGAGAGUGACAAGGUCUUUCCAGAAACAUGAUGCUUUCUGCAAAUUUCCUCCCACCAGAGUGACCCCGUGAUCUACAGAGUGAAUCCUGCAGACCAUACCAGGUAUGCAGUCCCGAAAGUCUUUUUUCCUUCUAUGGUGAGGGUGACUGGCUAAUAUCUUUGUAAAUCUAUCAAAGCAAUUUUUUUUAU